rnacentral:lncRNA from 1 species
GAGGGAUGGCACGGGCAAGAAGCUGGCACUUAUUGAGCACUCACUGUAUGUCCAGCACUUUGCCAACACUUAAUCUGCAUUAUCUCCCUCAGCCCCCCCCGCAUGAUGUGGAAGUAGAGAUGAUCUCGUUUAUUGCUAGGAUUCAGAACACUGACCCAUUUGUUCCAGCAAGCUGCAGCCAGGAAGCCGCCUUCAGCUCUGCCAGCAGAGAAAGAGGGAAGGAAGGGGUGUAGAUGGUGUGACCCUCACGGGCGGAACCCUGGAGGAUGUCGUACAUCCCAGAAAACCCACUACACCUCCGCCUCAUAGAGAGGAAGUUGAAAACGCAUCGAUCUCUGUGACCAAGGUUAGCCAAGCAGCAGUUCGCUGUACGAAUAAAUGUCUGGAAGCUCAUGGCCACCACUCUGAGCACCUCUUGUAAUGGUAGAGGCCAAAGGUAACUUGUAUUAACCUCAUGAUGGCUCAAUAAAUUUCAUAUUAAAAC